rnacentral:rRNA from 1 species
AACGAACGCUAGCGGCAGGCUUAACACAUGCAAGUCGAGCGCCCCGCAAGGGGAGCGGCAGACGGGUGAGUAACGCGUGGGAAUCUACCCAUCUCUACGGAAUAACGCAUGGAAACGUGUGCUAAUACCGUAUACGUCCUUCGGGAGAAAGAUUUAUCGGAGAUGGAUGAGCCCGCGUUGGAUUAGCUAGUUGGUGGGGUAAAGGCCUACCAAGGCGACGAUCCAUAGCUGGUCUGAGAGGAUGAUCAGCCACACUGGGACUGAGACACGGCCCAGACUCCUACGGGAGGCAGCAGUGGGGAAUAUUGGACAAUGGGCGCAAGCCUGAUCCAGCCAUGCCGCGUGAGUGAUGGAGGCCCUAGGGUUGUAAAGCUCUUUCACCGGUGAAGAUAAUGACGGUAACCGGAGAAGAAGCCCCGGCUAACUUCGUGCCAGCCGCCGCAGUAACAC